UCUCGACCUCACAAGCCAUAGAGCUAUUUACGCAUGCAUUUGAGGAAUGCCAACUGCUGUAAUAACAAGUGUGCCCACAACAAUCAGGGCCUGGAGCAAGUAUGUAUACCGAAGGAAGUUGUGGUCCAGGAUUGCAGCGAUGCGGCACUGUUUUGCAGUACCCUACACUGUCGUGCCACAUGGACUGCAUGUACGUUAGCUCCGCAUUCGACUCUGGGGUUUCGGUAAAGAAGAAAAGGCUAAGAUGAUCUGAAGUAACUAGUUUAGGUCCUCGUAAUGUUUUUGGCCUCUUUGGAGUUUGGCAUGUCCUCUAAAGCUGGCAUUGGCGGUGCCGCUGCUGGUGAUAUGCUGGCCGUGGCGUGUGUGUGAUACUCUCGUUUUGGUACUUGUAGGGUCGUCUUUAUAAUGCUCCUGGCCAGGGAGUUGUGGUGAUACUAAGUAGCUGGUCAUACUUUCGAGUCUUGUGGGUUUUUGUAUUUGAAAUGAUAUGAUUUGUGCUGUGUGCACAUUAUUGUUUGUUGCGUGUUGUGAAUGAUAAAACAAGAUGAGAAGUUGUGCCAAAA